rnacentral:rRNA from 1 species
ACGCACGCUGGCGGCAGGCUUAACCCAUGCAAGUCGAGCGCCCCGCAAGGGGAGCGGCAGACGGGUGAGUAACGCGUGGGAACGUACCUUUUGGUUCGGAACAACUCCGGGAAACUGGAGCUAAUACCGGAUAAGCCCUAACGGGGAAAGAUUUAUCGCCGAAAGAUCGGCCCGCGUCUGAUUAGCUAGUUGGUGAGGUAACGGCUCACCAAGGCGACGAUCAGUAGCUGGUCUGAGAGGAUGAUCAGCCACACUGGGACUGAGACACGGCCCAGACUCCUACGGGAGGCAGCAGUGGGGAAUAUUGGACAAUGGGCGCAAGCCUGAUCCAGCCAUGCCGCGUGAGUGAUGAAGGCCUUAGGGUUGUAAAGCUCUUUUGUCCGGGAAGAUAAUGACUGUACCGGAAGAAUAAGCCCCGGCUAACUUCGUG